rnacentral:rRNA from 1 species
AUUGAACGCUGGCGGCGUGCUUAACACAUGCAAGUCGUGCGGUAACAGGCGUAGCAAUACGUGCUGACGAGCGGCGAACGGGUGCGUAAUACAUGGGAAUCUGCCUUUUAGUGGGGAAUAACCCGGCGAAAGCCGGGCUAAUGCCGCAUAAGAUCUUCGGAUGAAAGCGGGGGAUCGUAAGACCUCGCGCUGAUAGAUGAGCCCAUGCCGGAUUAGCAGUUGGUGAGGUAACGGCUCACCAAGGCGACGAUCCGUAGCUGGUCUGAGAGGACGGCCAGCCACACUGGGACUGAGACACGGCCCAGACUCCUACGGGAGGCAGCAGUGGGGAAUAUUGGACAAUGGGGGAAACCCUGAUCCAGCGACGCCGCGUGUGUGAAGAAGGCCUGC